GACGAACGCUGGCGGCGUGCUUAACACAUGCAAGUCGAACGGAAAGGCCCUUCUUUGGUGGUGUUGUCGAGUGGCGAACGGGUGAGUAACACAUGGGUAACCUUCCCGUGACUUUGGGUUACCUUCAGGAAACUGGGUCUAAUACGGGAUCGAACCUCGUGCUGCAUGGGGGGGGUUGGAAAGUUGCUGCGGUUGGGGAUGGAUUCGCGGCUUAUCAGCUUGUUGGUGGGGUAGGGGCUUACCAGGGCUUUGACGGGGAGCCGGCAUGAGAGGGUGACCGGCGACAUGGGUACUACGAGAGGGACCAGACUGCAACGGGAGGCAGCAGUGGAGAGUAUGGCACAAUAGGCGGGAGCGUGAGAAAGAAACGCCGGGGGCGGGAAGCACGCCUGUGCGUUGUAAAAUCCUUUCGCCUGUGACGAACGGUGAGUGACGGUAAUGGAUAAAGAAGCACCGGCUAACUACGUG
rnacentral:rRNA from 1 species